rnacentral:misc_RNA from 1 species
AACCAUAGAAACCUGCGGAGUACCUGCGGAGGGAUCAUUACCGAGUUUACAACUCCCAAACCCCUGUGAACAUACCAAUUGUUGCCUCGGCGGAUCAGCCCGCUCCCGGUAAAACGGGACGGCCCGCCAGAGGACCCCUAAACUCUGUUUCUAUAUGUAACUUCUGAGUAAAACCAUAAAUAAAUCAAAACUUUCAACAACGGAUCU